GUCGGGGUGAUGGCGCGUGCCUGUAGUCCCAGCUACUUGGGAGGCUGAGGCUGGAGGAUCGCUUGAGCCCAGGAGCUCUGGGCUGCAGUGCGCUAUGCCGAUCAGGUGUCCGCACUAAGUUCGGCAUCAAUAUGGUGACCUCCCAGAAGCAGGGGACCACCAGGUUGCAAAAGGAGGGGUGAACUGGCCCAGGUUGGAAACGGAGGAGGUCAAAACUCCUGUGCUGAUCAGUAGUGGGAUCACGCCUGUAAAGAGCCACUGCACUCCAGCCUGGGGCAAUAUAGCAAGACCCCGUCUCU
rnacentral:SRP_RNA from 1 species